ensembl:lincRNA
UUUAACUAAUGCUUCUUUAAAAUUGUUUUUAUUCCAGCUUGAGGAUUUACUGCCUUUAAAGUCAGAAAAAUAUGAAUAAAAUAUGAUGUAUUGAGCCUGCAAAUAAUAGGAAUAAGAAUAGUCCUGAUGUAAGAAAUAAAGGAUUUAAUUAUCAAUGAUGUGUAAUAGAAGUCUUAUAUAAAAUUCAUCAGCCUACUGGAAAAAAUGAUUGGUAUCCUUCAAAGGAAAUUGAAGGAGUCUUGUGGCUGUGGUCUAGUAGCAAUAAUAAUCUAGUGACAGAUGUUGGAGAAAACCAGGCCUGGGAGUUGUCACCUCACUGUCUCUCUCUCUCUGGUGUGGCUGUCUCUGAUGUUGUCAUCAAGGUAUUCAGUGACGUGAAGGUGCACAAAUCCUCAGUACUGGAGGAAGUGAAGAAGGCAAUGCUCCUCUACCUGAGUGAGGACCAGAAGAGCAUCCUCCGGGAGGAAGGCAAGGAACAGAUCAAGUUGCUCUCAGGGAGGAGGCCAAGGGAGGUUUCCACAGAAAAGAAGACAAACCAUUGGAGUAUGACUGGAGUAACACAGCUGCUAACCAUGGAAUACCAGAAGCCAUCAGAAGUUACAAGCUGUCAAACAGACUCGCCCCUUGCACCUGCGGAAGGAGUGUGGCCCUGCCUUCAUCUUGAUUUUCAGUUUUCUAAAAUUCACUCUGGACUUCUAGCUCCAGAAUACAAGAGAGUAAGUUCAUGUUUUCCCUUUCUUUUUUUUUUUUUAAAGAUAAAUAAAACUCUUAAUUAAGCAAAGUAUCAGUACACACUUACAAAAGAAAACAGUUCAAAAUACCACAGAACACAUGAAAAGAUAAUCCACAUCAUUAUAGUUAAAGGAUCUGAAUAGACUUUUCUCCAUAGGAGAUUACAGAUGGCCAGUAAACACAGGAAAAUCUUUCAGCAUCAUGAACCACUAGUGAAAAGCACGUCAAAAUCACAGCUGUUUACCCUUUACACUCAUCAGAAUGUUUGUGAUAAAAAGAUGAAAUAAAUAUGAGUGAUGAUGUGGAGAAAUAAGAGCAUUUAUACACUGUUGGAAAGAGUAAAAUAUGAAGUCACUUUGUAAAACUGGAAGAUGCUGAACGUUUUAAAUAUAGAGUUACUAUAUGACCCAUAAAUUCCAUUUUUAGGUGCAUAGGUAAGAGAAAUGAAAACCCAUGUUCAUAUGAAGAGCCGUGCACAAAUGUUUAUAUAGCCGUUGUACUCAUAAUAACCAAAGCGUGGAGAUGAGACAAAGGUGCAAAAACUAAUCAGUGCACAGACUCUGUGUCAUGUGAUUUUAUUUGUCAGUACAGAAGAAUGAAGAAAUUAUACACACUGCAGUAUAGAUGCAUCUUGGAAGACAUGCUAAGCAAAAUCAAAUUUUUACUUUCCUAAGCCAACCGAUUUGUGGUGAUUUGUUAUAGCACAUGUAGGAAAUGAACACAAUGUUAUUGUGGUAUAGUAUUUUAUUUUCAGUAUUUUUCUUAAUUUAUUUGAAAGUUUACAUUCAGUAAAAUUUGCUCUCUUGGGGGUCCAGCUUUAUGAGUACUGACAACUAUUACUCGUGGAACCACCAUCAUUAUGAAGAAAUGGAGCAAUUUCAUCACCUCUCAUUCUCUCCCCUCACCCCCUCCCCAGUUUUCCUGCUACUACUUUUCAGGCUCUCCCUGUACUCUUAAUUCCUGGAAAUCUCAGAACAGUUCAUCACUUUAUUUCUGAAUUUUCCAGAAUUCCAUAUAAAUUGAGUCAUUCAAUAUGUAGGUUUUGAGUCUGUCUCCUUUUAUUUCAUAUAAUACAGGUGAAAUUUAUCCCAUGUUUUUGCAGGUAUUAAUAGUUCAUUCCUUUUUAUUCCUGUAUACUAUUCCAUUUCAUGUAUGUACCACAGUUUAUUUAUUUC